rnacentral:snoRNA from 13 species
GGCCUUUGUGUUACCUGUUUGCCUUUGGAAACUAGUGAAUGUGUCAGGAAAGGCAGGCAUGGACUGCUUUGCAGCCUUCUCCCACUAUUAGAUUUGGUAUCUCCAGUGCAGGACCUGCACAGGCGACAGUU